GAAAUGCGAUAAGUAGUGUGAAUUGCAGAAUUCAGUGAAUCAUCGAAUCUUUGAACGCACAUUGCGCCCCUCGGUAUUCCGUGGGGCAUGCCUGUUCGAGCGUCAUCUACACCCUCAAGCUCUGCUUGGUGUUGGGCGUCUGUCCCGCCUCCUUCGCGCGCGGACUCGCCCCAAAUCCAUUGGCGGCGGCCCUUGUCUCCCUCUCGCGCAGCACAUUGCGCUUCUCGAGGCGCGGCGGACCGCGUCCAGCAAGCAACCGUCACACCGUCUUUGACCUCGGAUCAGGUAGGGAUACCCGCUGAACUUAAGC
rnacentral:misc_RNA from 1 species